GUUUCUGUGGUAGGUGCAGAAUGGUCUGGCCCUCUAUGCAGCAUGGACGACCAUCGCUACUCUGCUGAACUUUGCCGUUGUGUUGAUCUACAAGUGGGAUGUCCCCAGGGAGACAGCAACGACUGCUUCUCUAAGCAUCCUUACUCUAAUCCUAGUAAUAUGGUUUUAUCUAGAAAAUGUCUUUCUUGACAAGUUUGUCCGCUACAACCUCACCAUCUACCCAGUGGUCAUAACAGCUCUCACUGGCAGCGCCUGCAAGAACUUCUCCUUUUCAUCCCCAACAACAAAUGGCAUUUUUAUAGUUGUGCUGCUGGCAAUAACUUGCUUGAUCUUUGUGGUUAGGCUGGGACUAGUCACAUGGCGACACUGUAAGAGGCCUCUGGAAGCACCAGGAACCCCUGGCUCAUCAGGCACAGUGGCCUGAGACCUUCGAUGUGUUGUGUCAGGCACCUUAAGGAGGAGGAAAAAAGAACUGGGCAUCCUCUGGUUCUUCGUUCCAGUAUCACUUGCCUCAUGCUCUUCUCCAACUACUUCUUCCACGUGCAUAAUGUGAGUGGCUUGUGUCUGCAAACCUGUCCUCAGAUCAGUUAGGCACAGGCACAGCCCCAGCUUGAAUAUGCAUCCUCCAUUUGGUGUGACUCUGGAUCAGUGCAGGAACGAUGCCGUGCACCUUUACAACAACUGAUCUGUGGCUCCCUGCUCCUGACAGCACUCUGAAAGCUGUCAGCAGGCAGCUGGCAGCUUGUACAGGCAGCUGCUCACAUGCUUUCCUUGGCAGCUCAUUGUUUUUCUUCACCUGCAGCUCUAAGAGAAUUAUCCCUGGAAGUCAAGGUGAGCAAUAGGAGGUCUGUCGUUCCUUUGGCUAUUCAGUGCUGGCUAUCUGCGACUCCCAGUGGUGUGUGCAGAUCUGCAGGCAGUUUCUGCUCCCUGUCCUCCUCCUCUUAGUGAUGGGAGCAGAUGUUAUAGCUCCAGAGAUCUACCUUUGUGUCAGCUCUGAUGUUUGAUACCCAAGGGAGGAGUGCCUGAAUACUUCUGACACAAUUGCAAGCCUUCAUAGAAUUAUAGAAACAUUAUGGUUGGAAAAGAUCUUUAAGAUCAUCAAAUCCAACUAUUAACCUAACACUACUCAGUCUGCCAUGAAACCAUGUCCCACAUGUCUUUGAAGCCGUUCCAGGGAUGGUGACUCAACCACUUCUGUGGUUCCCAUGCUUUAACUCCUCUAGUGAAGAUAUUUUUUCUGAUGUCCAGCCUAAACUGUCCCUGGUGAAACUUGAGGAUGUUUCUUCUCGUCCUAUCUCUGGAUACCAGGAAGAAGAGGCCAACACCCACCUGGCUCCACCCUCUUUUCAGGAAGUUGUAGAAAGUGAGAAGGUCUCCCCUCAGCCUCAUUUUCCCCAGACUAUACCACCCCGGUUCCCUCAGCUGCUCCUCACCAGGCCUGUUCUUCAAACACUUCUCCACCUUUGCUGCCUUUGCUCUGGACCCACUCCAGCACCUUUUUUUUGUCGUGAGUGGCCCAAAAUUGACUCCAGGACUAGAGAUGCGGCUUUACCAGUGCUGAGUACAGGGAAACAAUUGCUUCCCUGACCCUGCUGGUAACACUCUUUUUGAUCCAGUCCAGGAUGCUGGUGGCCUUCUUGGGCACCUGGGCACACUGCUGGGUCAUAUUUAGCUGAUUGUCAAGCAACACCCCCAGGUCACCCCUCUUCAACGUGUUUCAAUUUGUUGUAGCUCUAGAAGCUGAAGAUGCAUUCACUUCUCAGCCUAGAUGAAGACAUCUGGAUCUCUGCCCUGAUUUUUCUUGACUCUUUCAGUUAAGGUAGUUGCUCUGUCUCUCUGUGGAUCCACAAUAGCAGAUUCAUACUGUUCCUGCUCUGCCUGUAAGCCAGAUGAUAUCUAGGGCAUCAGGAAUGGUGGGUUGCCUUUCCCUGAGCUAUUCCAGGUGAGCAGUACACAGCUUGGGCACUGGAGGAUGGUUUGUAGCCCCCCUGGCGGGCGGUUAGGUGUACAGGUGAGAUGAAACCCUCCCUGGGGUAAAGCCUUGCUGCUUCAAAGGGAGCCUAGGAAAGUAAAAAAAAUAAUUAUUUUGAACCAUAGAGUGAGUUCAUCCUGGUUCAGUGCUUUUUCAUGUAGCUUUACCACUUUUGAGAUUGUAUUAGGAAGGCCAAAAGGGUAUUGACCACUGUGCCUUCUUCCUGUGCCUGCUUGAGAGCCCGUGGUGCCUCACUGCUGCUUCUAAAGUGUUUCUACACAGGCAGGCACUUUCAGAUGCUGGAUAUCUUCCAAGGCAAUUCCAAAGCUAAAAUCUUCUAAGCCUGUGUGCUACUGUUCACACUGAACAAAGAGCAAAGCCUGUGCAAUGCAGUUCUCUUUGUCCUUCUGGGCUGGUGGUUUAUUUUGAAAUAAAUCAGCUGAUCAA